AUUGAACGCUGGCGGCAGGCUUACCACAUGCAAGUCGAACGUGUGGCGGACGGGUGAGUAAUGCAUGGGCAUCUGGCCUAUGGAGGGGGAUAACUACGGGACACUGUAGCUAAUACCGCGUAACGUAGGAUGCGCCCACGUGGGAUUAGGUAGUUGGUGAGGUAAAGGCUCACCAAGCCGACGAUCUCUAGCUGGUCUGAGAGGAUGACCAGCCACACUGGGACUGAGACACGGCCCAGACUCCUACGGGAGGCAGCAGUGGGGAAUAUUGCAAAAUGGGGGCAACCUGACGCAGCCAUGCCGCGUGAAUGAAGAAGGCCUGCGGGUGGUAAAGUUCUGUCGGUAGCGAGGCGGUAACGACAGAAGAAGCACCGGCUAACUCCGUGCCAGCAGCCGCGGUAAUAC
rnacentral:rRNA from 1 species